AAUAGUGGCAACAGGUUCUGGAACGUUCUAGGUUCGCCUCCCGCCCUCGCUAGAGUAUCGCAGAGCGCGCGGGGCAGGAAUAGAGUGGCAUGGGGCAAAUCUGAUGAGGCGCCAGAUCAGAGAAUGCAGCCCACAGCAUUGAUGAGGCAAAGAGCUGGCUGCAAAUGUUUCUCCUUCACAGAGGCUAGUGAAGAUUAGAAGGAGAAAGCGAAGGACACGUGAUGACAUGUUUACAGAACUACAGAUGUCCU